AGAGUUUGAUUCUGGCUCAGAUUGAACGCUGGCGGCAGGCCUAAUACAUGCAAGUCGAACGGUAACAUGGAAGUAGCAAUACUUUGAUGACGAGUGGCGGACGGGUGAGUAAUAUUUGGGAAUCUACCUAUCAGAGGGGGAUAGCAACUGGAAACGGUUGAUAAGACCGCGUACGCUCUGAGGAGGAAAGUAAUGGGAUCGAAAGACCAUUAGCUGAUAGAUGAGCCCAAACGGGAUUAGCUAGUAGGCGGGGUAAGGGCCCACCUAGGCGACGAUCUCUAGCUGGUUUUAGCGGAUGAUCAGCCACAUUGGAACUGAGACACGGUCCAAACUCCUACGGGAGGCAGCAGUAGGGAAUAUUGCACAAUGGAGGGAACUCUGAUGCAGCCAUGCCGCGUGUGUGAAGAAGGCCUUCGGGUUGUAAAGCACUUUAGUUUUCGAGAAAGGGUGCUGUUCAAAUAGGGCAGUAUUCAGAUGUUAGAAAAGAAUAAGUACCGGCAAACUCCGUGCCAGCCGCCGC
rnacentral:rRNA from 1 species